GAGAUGAAGUGCUCUCCUGUUCAGUGUAUGCGGAAGAGACUGGAGCUGAGUUGCUAUCUUCGUAACAGUAAAACUACAGCGAGAUCUGAAUUCUUUGUUCAUGUUUCGUUGCCUGCUUUGAGGCAAGCAGUGGUGAUGAGAGCAGACAUCAGCCGUAGGGUCCAGGGAAGGCAUGCAGCUGUUGCUGAGCAGUGCUACAAUGAACUAAAGGGGUUUUGAUGAGAUUCAGCGCCAGGUGCUCCUCAUUACAAAGUCUCAGCAACACUAUGCCAGUCUGGGCAAGAAACGUGCUUCCUCUGCUCCCACUGAGCAGGAGACAGCUGAGCUGUCCAGCAGACAACUCGGUGCUUUCCUGCAGCUUUCCUACCGGUUGGUGAAGGUAAUGUGAUGGCUGUGCUGCUCCAGUGCUACAUGCGCUCCUCUUUCUGUGGCAAAAACAAGUGCAGUCUUUGGAAGAUGUACUAUAACUGUCAGCUGAUUUGUUGCAUGAGAUUCUGAGAAAAGGAAGAGUGAAAAUAGCAGGAGAGUGGUUUUUCAUCUCAUUUGGACCCUGAUUUAAAUGGGUUUCUGGGGCAGCAUUCAUUUCUGGGAUAAGAGCGAAUCUUUAGGAUUGAGGUUUCUGCAACAGGAGCAAUCUUUUAGGGGUAUCCACCACCUGUAUUUUGGGUUUAGAGUACACAUUUAAAGGUGACCUGUCAAUCUGACAGCACACCCAGAUGCAGCGUUUACUGAUUUCUCUGCCACCAAGAAGCUGAACCACAAAUCUCCAGACAUCUGUCAUCACUAACAGAAGGGCAAAAAUAUUAAAAUGGAAACCAUAAAGUUGAAUACAUCAAAGAUACAACCAGAGAAGAAAUAUGAGAUCCCUCUGUAGCAGGCAUAACUCAUUCGCAUUGCCAAUUCAAAAUCAGCCAUAGCAGGAGAAUUUAAUGAUACCAUUGUUUAGUGAAAUUAGACAUGACACUAGCCAGUUACCUUCUAUUUUGGUUGGUUAGGAUUUGCUGUUGUUUGACACUCAUUAGAAAUCACAGUAACCUGCUUUCAGGGCAGUCAAAUUAAGCUUUCCUCUCCCUGUAUGAGAUUACUCAUCACACCACAGCUACAUGAUAAUUGGAAAAUAACUAGUGAAUGAGUACACCUUACAGAAGCUGUCAUCUGAGCAUGUCAGUAAUGUACCCAAGGUGAUCCUGCAAAGAAUUUGGUUGUACACACAACACCUAAGAAAAAACUGUUGC
rnacentral:lncRNA from 1 species